rnacentral:rRNA from 1 species
CACGUAGGGCGCAAGCGUUGUCCGGAAUUAUUGGGCCUAAAGCAUCCGUAGCCGGUUUUACAAGUCCUCCGUUAAAUCCAACUGCUUAACAGAUGGGCUGCGGAGGAUACUAUAAGACUAGGAGGCAGGAGAGGCAAGCGGUACUCAGUGGGUAGGGGUAAAAUCCGUUGAUCCAUUGAAGACCACCAGUGGCGAAGGCGGCUUGCCAGAAUGCGCUCGACGGUGAGGGAUGAAAGCUGGGGGAGCAAACCGG